AAUGCGAUCAUACCAGCA
rnacentral:snRNA from 1 species